rnacentral:rRNA from 1 species
GUAUUUUGACUUGGGGUACGUGGGUAUUUGGAAUUUCAAUAUUUGAUCCUGGUGAAUUACAAAAAUUAAUAUUGGUUUCUGUGGCGACUUGUAUGGCGGAUACUGCAAGUAGUGAACUAGGUUCUCGUUAUGGAGGAAUCCCCAGAGAUAUUUUAACAUUUAAACCAUUAGGAGCGGGAGUAUCCUGGGGGGUGGUAUCGUGACUGGGAGACAUUAUAGCUUCGGCGCUAGAUGAUGGGUGUGCGUAUGAUUAGAUAGUUGGCGAGGUAACGGCUCACCAAGUCUACGAUCAUUAGCUGAUGUGAGAGCAUGAUCAGCCACACGGGCACUGAGACACGGGCCCGACUCCUACGGGAGGCAGCAGUAAGGAAUAUUGGUCAAUGGACGAAAGUCUGAACCAGCCAUGCCGCGUGAAGGAUUAAGGUCCUCUGGAUUGUAAACUUCUUUUAUAUGGGACGAAAAAAGGUCUUUCUAGAUCACUUGACGGUACCAUAUGAAUAAGCACCGGCUAACUCCGUGCCAGCAGCCGCGGUAAUACGGAGGGUGCAAGCGUUAUCCGGAUUCACUGGGUUUAAAGGGUGCGUAGGCGGGCAGGUAAGUCAGUGGUGAAAUCCUGGAGCUCAACUCCAGAACUGCCAUUGAUACUAUCUGUCUUGAAUAUUGUGGAGGUAAGCGGAAUAUGUCAUGUAGCGGUGAAAUGCUUAGAUAUGACAUAGAACACCUAUUGCGAAGGCAGCUUACUACGCAUAUAUUGACGCUGAGGCACGAAAGCGUGGGGAUCAAACAGGAUUAGAUACCCUGGUAGUCCACGCCCUAAACGAUGGAUACUCGACAUACGCGAUACACUGUGUGUGUCUGAGCGAAAGCAUUAAGUAUCCCACCUGGGAAGUACGUUCGCAAGAAUGAAACUCAAAGGAAUUGGCGGGGGUCCGCACAAGCGGUGGAGUAUGUGGUUUAAUUCGAUGAUACGCGAGGAACCUUACCUGGGCUAGAAUGCUGGGAGACCGCUAGUGAAAGCUAGUUUUGUAGCAAUACACUGCCAGUAAGGUGCUGCAUGGCCGUCGUCAGCUCGUGCCGUGAGGUGUUGGGUUAAGUCCCGCAACGAGCGCAACCCCUAUCUUUAGUUGCCAACAGGUAAUGCUGGGAACUCUAAAGAAACUGCCGCCGUAAGGUGUGAGGAAGGAGGGGAUGAUGUCAGGUCAUCAUGGCCUUUAUGCCCAGGGCUACACACGUACUACAAUGGGGAAGACAAAGGGCUGCAACAUAGCGAUAUGAAGCCAAUCCCAAAAACUUCCUCUCAGUUCAGAUUGCAGGCUGCAACUCGCCUGCAUGAAGCUGGAAUCGCUAGUAAUCGUAUAUCAGCAAUGAUACGGUGAAUACGUUCCCGGACCUUGCACACACCGCCCGUCAAGCCAUGGGAGU